rnacentral:pre_miRNA from 1 species
UUAAUACUCCCUCCGUCCGGAUACUUGUUCAAGGAAUGGAUGUAUCUAGAUGUAUUUUAGUUCUAGAUACAUUUAUUUUAUCUAUUUUUGUAACAAGUAAUUUCGAAAGGAGAGAGUAGUAA